GAAGAAGAAGAAGAAGAAGUCAUGGAAGGCUUAAUUCCUUAUCUCCUUCAUGCAAUGAAGAAACAAAGGCCUUACAACAGCUACAGGUCUUUCUCUGAAGGCUCAAGCCGUAGCUACCAUUUGUUAGUAGGCGGCGGGGACUCGUUCAAUGGCUCUUCUCACCGGCGAACCAGGUCGGAGUUCCAGCAACCAAACAUGGAGUUUUUGGAGCGAAGGCCUGGUCUGGAGUAUCUACAUUCAAACAGCUUAAGAAAACGCUCGGUGAACUCUGCCGCAGUGGCUGCAGGUGGUUCAAAGCUUACUAGUUCUUAUAAUAAUCCUCACUAUGGGAAAAACAAUAUUUUCUAAUCUCAGGCAAUUAAAGUUUCAAAAUGAAAGCAUUAUUUGUUUUUUCUAUUAACUGUAUUUUAUAUUCUUUAAAUGUUGCAAGAUAAAUUAUAUUGUGUGAUGAUUAAGCUAUAGGGUGGAAAUAAUUGUAAUGAUGAGGAGUACCCACCCUGUAGUUGAUGGAAAUUGUAUAUUUGAUCUUAAAGUACUCUGUUUUCCAUGGCAAAUGCCAAUAAUUA
rnacentral:misc_RNA from 1 species